GAGAAGAACGUAGCGAAAUGCGAUAAGUAAUGUGAAUUGCAGAAUUCAGUGAAUCAUCGAAUCUUUGAACGCACAUUGCGCCCGUCAGUAUUCUGGCGGGCAUGCCUGUUCGAGCGUCAUUACGCCCCUCAAGUCCCCUGUGGACUUGGUGUUGGGGAUCGGCGAGGCUGGUUUUCCAGCACAGCCGUCCCUUAAAUUAAUUGGCGGUCUCGCCGUGGCCCUCCUCUGCGCAGUAGUAAAACACUCGCAACAGGAGCCCGGCGCGGUCCACUGCCGUAAAACCCCCAACUUUUUAUAGUUGACCUCGAAUCAGGUAGGACUACCCGCUGAACUUAAGCAUAUCAAUAAGCGGAGGA
rnacentral:misc_RNA from 1 species